CUGGGUUUCGAGUUUGCACCCAGAGUCCCUUCUGGUACAGCAGUAAACCGUGCAUGUUUAAAUGACAUCAAAGUACUUAGUAUAUAGCAAAGAGAAAAUAUAUAUGCAACAGAAGUCCUUUGUUAAAUCCAGUAGCUGUUCUUUUUGUCCAACAUAUAAACUGUAUAAAUAACAUGGACUGCUGGUUUUGUGACCUGGAGGAUGUAUCCUGAUUCUAAUUACUGUAGUACUGCCACAUAGCUAACCUUUCUUCAUACUAAAGUCUCAGAAAAACUAGACAGGACUUUUCUACUCUGCUACCUAGUCAUAGCCAUAUUUCUUAGAUUAUUUUUGUAUCCCGUUUGCUUUUCUAUUUCCGCAGUUUUCCAACACCAAAACAAAAGACACUGCCUGUUCGAGGACCACUGUAACGUUUACUAAGAAAAACCAGCAAAUCUGUGUUGUGUUGCGUUUCCCCCUGCUGGUGAUAAAUCAGCCUUUUUGUCUUUUUAUCUCAAAUACAGAUAGAUGGGGAAGUUUCUGGCAUAGCUUUCACAAUCAUCAAAAGCAGAAAGUAUACCCAGUGUUUUGUUCUUUAUUUUUUAUAAGUCUUCUGUAUUUUUAUAUUUAGAACUUUUUAAUAUAUUCAGUAUAUACAAAAAUCUUAAAGGCAUUUAAAUUAAAAACAGUAAUAGGAUUAAGUCAUCUUAGAGUAUAUGUAUUUAUGCCAUGUUAAUAGACCGUUUUAGGCCACUUUAUACUUUGGCCACUAGAAAAAUCGCUUGUUUACCAAUCAAAAGCCAUGUCAUUGGAUGACGUUGCAACUCCUGAGAGUUCGUUAUCCAAUCAGCUUUACCGACCUCCCUUAGUGUGACCACAUCACCCGCAGUCCUAUUUUUGACGUCUUCUCCUUGUUGGCUUUCCAGUCGUUCUACGUUACAAUUUUGAGGCGUCUGCAUUCUCAAGCAAAAUCGCAUAUUUCAGUCAUUUUUAUUAUUUUUAUCAUAUUUAUUAUUUGGUAAUUCGUCGGCAAGUAGUACUAAUCUGAGUUUAAAUGGAAUUUAACUGUUGCUCUUAUAAGAAAGAUAAUUGAAGUGUAUUUUUUUCUACAUGAAUCUUUCCUGUAUUGUUUCCGAUCUUACCAGGUGAACGACUGCGAGAAUCAUAGAGGAAUGGUGCUUUAGAUGUCUUGGGUUUUAGAGGGCAAAUUUUAUAUACGUACGUGAUUUUUAAUUUAACAUUGUAAUAAAGCAAAAUGAGAAGGGAUUUUCUGCCAAGUCUCGCUUUGGUUCACCUUCCAAAACGUGUUGCCAUAGGAAACGCAGCCAGGUUCAGGAAGAAAGCAAUACUUUUCUUCUGCUCAGUAACUUUAAAAUGCCUUUUCUGUGCUUAAGGUUCUGCCAGAAAGUAAAAAGAAAAUAAAAGCUUAUUCAUAUUACAGUGCUUCACAAAUAAAGUUCUGAAAACGGGCAAUUGCUGAUACCCUUGUAUUUGUUUAGAACCCUCGCUUCGUUGUGUCGUUUUUAUUUUCAGGUAGAUUCAUAUUUCUCAUAUCUGUCCAUCCCACGGAAGAAUGUUUCCCUUUUUCGUUUGGUUUGCUUCAGUGGCGUUUGAGGCGCUUUCUCUUGUUUUCCUCAACCUGCCGCUUUCCUGUUUCGCUGGGCUGUGUGUGGUGUUUUAAUGUGCUUUCCGUUGCCUAAUUCUUGGUAAGUGUGCAGAUGUUUGUAUACGCUUUUUUUGUCAUCUAUUCUUUAUUCAGUGAUGUGCAAGGGAAACAGAGGGGUCAUAUUUUUGUUCUGCUUUUUUUUCUUAUUUGGAGGGGGCGGCGGGAGGGAGGAGGUGUUAUAGGAAAGUAAAUUAAAAUGUGCAAAAGCCGAACCAAAGCCAUUGUAUUGUUUCCUUGUUGCCCUGAUGAAACUGCCAUGUGAUUAAUUUUAUUGCACUGGUAACAGUUAUGUAUAUUUGAAAGAAAUCACUAUUAAACUAUGUUGGCAGAUUGGCAACUACAUUUAAUUUCAGAGCUGAUUUUCACUUGCACCAUUUUUAGAAACAUGGUAUUUGGGUUUUGGUGAGGAGAACUGGUGGGAGGGGGGGAUAUGUACCGCUUUAUCUUAAUUAAACGACGAAUUUUAGAUACUGGGGUAGCCAAAAACUUUUACUUUUACAUUGCCUCACCUGCAAUGUAAUCGGAUAUAAAUGUAAUUUGCUGAAGUUAAAUAUAGUUUCACUCUGAGAACAUUCAAUUUUUCUUUUUAAAAAAACGUGGGACAUAAAUUGAGAUUCAGUCAAAUUCAGCAGUUCUUCUUAUUACAAGCACUGGUAUUAUUUUUGUAUAAAAUAUUAUGUGGUAUGCAUGACUUUAACAAUUUGGUGGUUCAAAGCAAUAUGUACCCCUGGUGUGAGUGGUAUAUUAUUGAUGUCCUGUGUAGCCUAAAACCAUGCUGUACUUAAAAUAUGCGUUUGGAAAAACUAAAGAAAAGCAACAAAAAAAUGUUCAGUAUAUGUGUUCAGUGUUCUGCAUGUUUAUAUACUGUAUGGAAUGAAACAUCCAAAAUGUUUGACUUGCUUCCAAGAUUCCCAGUUUAGGCAGCCAGACACACACAGGAACACAGACUUGCUGCCGUGCGCGCGCGCACACACAAUCAGACGCUCAUCAUGUCAUUUCUCAAGCCCUGCGUGGGUCACGACAGGCCCACGCAAGCUCGCCAGGAGGCAGUGCACACAUCCUGAGGAGAUACUGUUCUAGAUGGGCUAAGGAGGAGAAAAUACUACAGCAUUUUGAUUUAUUUUUUUUUCCCCACCGAGAACUCCAGGUCCUGGAGCUUUGCCCGUUCGCCAGUUCAGAAAAUUCUUCUGUCCGCGGCCGGUGUGCUGUAUUCUGCUCCCGGUCGCCCGCCUUGCACCCCGAAGGGCGUGAUGGUCCGUGGUUGCAGAGAGGGGCCCCGCCUCGGCGCGCCCCAUGUCGCGGUCAAGCGAUCCGAUGUUGUGUAGUUUGGGCCGCUAGAAAAUCCCACCUAGUUGUCUGUUGGUUGCCGGAAAGGUGUUUUCCUUUGAUUAAUUCUUCUACAGUUUUCGGGGGGGAUGUUUCUUAUAAAGGCCUUUCGUGUCAUUUUGGGCGGGGAACUAUUUACCCAGUGCCAGGGUAACCAUCCUCUGUUAUCUGUCACGCACAUGUUGUCAUCAGUACUACAUGUUUUGCUUGUUAAACCACAAAGUAAAACCUCAGAAAUCAAGAAUCUGAGUUUUUUUUUUGCAUUCAUAUUGCCAGCAAUCUACAGGGCUGACCUUUCAUACCGUGUAAGAGGAAAUUUAUUGAUCUCGGUGAGGAAGGUGGCUUGAAGGUACAAUGAAUUGUAGGAUGAAGAGUUAGUUUGUGCAGCUCAGAAAAUGGGGGUUUUCCCAGUAACUAAGACUAAUACAAGCAUGCUUCUGUAACAGCUGUUGACUCCACCUGUGAGAAUGUGCACCUUGUACAGUAGCUUGUAUGUAAAAAUCAGUUCAAGGUGGGUCUCUUCAAUGGCACAUUUGCAUUGCCUGCCUCCCUUUUAACCUCAGUGCACUGAGGAAUACAGUACAUAAACAUAGUUUCUCAUUGCAAAAGUCCCCAAACUACUUUGCCAUUCUUCACACCCAUCAUCAAAGGCCUAUCAUCUUGCAGUGCAUUUGGUCCAGCCAAUAUUAUUCUUUUUCACAUCCUUUGGGAGCUUCUGUCAUUAGGUUUAGUUUUGGCUGCAUUUGCCCUUUUAAACCAGAUUGCUCACAAAAUGCAGCUCCCACAUGUUCUGUAAUGGUAAAAUCAGGUUUGCACACAAGAUCUCUGGCAGAGCUCGCUAGCAUUGUAGAAAGCACAUCCAGCUUUCCUGAGUAUCUUAGGUCUUGCUUUCCCCUUCCCCUUAUUUGUUUUAGCACCAGGAGGCUCCUGUAGUUCUGCAGUCCACUGUGAGGCUGAGUGAAACAAAGCCAUAGUCACCAACCAGCUCUUCUGAUGUUGGAUUUAACUCUAUCCUGUCUCCUGGUGCUUUAGCAAUUAUGCCCAUUCAGCGAAGGCUUCAUAUUCCCUUCAUCUGUUAGUCCAUCUAGGCAUUGUUUAAGGGCAAGCUCUUGUCUGCUCUCAAGGUUUGAGUGAGAAUCCUCCUGGUUUCUCCCAAGGCUCAUACCAGACACCCUCUUAACUGGUCUGCAGUAUGUUAAUCACGCCAAUAGUGGAUGUGCGUGCCUUUGCCACUGUCAAUGACUGGAUCUGUCUGUCCAGUAAAUAUUGAUUUGUCAGUUUUUGGCCCAACCCUGGUGCAUAGUAAUACUAUGGAAGUUCCAGGUUCUUUGCUUGGCCAAUAAUUGAGAACUAACAACUUCAAACUGAGGGCUAGUUUGUACUGAGUGAUAGGAUUUGCAGGUGGUUAUGUAUGGUACCAUUAUAUUUUAUCUUGAUAUCCUGGAGUCAUAUAUUUGAAAUAAUCUGAUGACAGUGUUAAAGAGCAGCCUCAAUCUUUUAUAUACAUUACAAUCCUAAAGAAAAAUGGUCGAUUGACAGUGUCCAGUACUACAGUGCUGUCAUGAUUUCUUCAUGUUAAUAUUGCUCUUGCCGUGUGUUAUUAGCCUCUCUGCUUUAGGCAUCCUUUUAGGGUUGAACAGCAGCCCUGGCUCUUAAUUCGUCUCUGUGAGGACAGACAAAACAUGAAAAAAGUCGCAGUUUUACAACCGGAAGAAACCAUCAAGCAGGAGGCCUCAGACUUCCAGCCUAGGGUCUUCUGAAUUACAGUUAACCACUUAAUCAUGAUUGGCCACAACCUCCUUAUAAUGACAGUAUGCUGGAAGAAUGAGCGAGUGAGAAACGUUGAAGGUUGCAGGUCUCGAAGGGAGUGGGGUGGAAUCGUGGUUUGUGCUCCCUAACACUCGCUAAAUGAAUUAGAUACCAGUCCUCCAUAGUUUUUGCAGGGAAACAAAGAUUUGACAAAUAGUAUCUGAUGCUACUGUAUAAAGAAACAAGUCUGUCGCACUAUUAGGCCUUGAUUUACUUUGUCCUGCACUUUAGUGUCAUUGGCUGAGUCAUGUCAUUAAAACUAGUUUCUUCUGCCCUAAUUUUCUUCAUUUGAGAUUAGCACCGCAGGAAAAAGGGCAUUGGUUGGGAAAUUGUGCUUUCCUUUGGCCAAGGUAUACAGUAUACAGAAUAAGGUUUUGAGAGACUGUUGUACUGUGACACUUUUCAGAUGGAAAAACUAAACUUUUGAAAAAAUAGAGACGUUAUAUUUUGUUACAACUGCAAUUGUCCAUUGCUAUCUGAAAGACUAUUAUAUGAUUUUGGCACUUUGAGAAGGGGGCAGAGACAUGCCAUUUGCUUAGGGCAUAAGGAAUAACAGUUUGUUCAGUUUAUGCUGAUACAGGUUAGAACAGUGAAGGGUCCCCUGACGUGAUGCUAAAUGAUAGUUUAUCAGAUUUCAAAGAUUGAUGUAAACAAAAGCAAUUAGGGCAUAGUGUGGAAAAAUGUAACGCUGUUCUUAUUACAACAAAUAAUAACAUUGCUGUUAAAAUAAACAUUAAUAUUGCUAUUAAAAAUUAGUUUCCUGCUUUCGACUGCUUCUGGAUAUCUCCUUGUUCAGUGAAGACGUAGAAAAGUUUGUUUAAAAACGCGGAUCUUGUGUUUCCCGUGGGUUUAAAACGAAAAAUUUCCAGGUGGCGCGCACUAUCCUUUCUCUGCGAUGGGGUUAAUGUGAAACAACUCUAUGCUUGUUAAUGCAGAAAGAUUUUAAAAGGAUGAAAACAACCAAGCGAACAAUAUUGUUAAUCGCUCCUCGCGGCCAUAAAAGGUCGUGGGUGUUGGCGAUACUUUCAUUAUCGGGCUGAAGUUCUCCAGAUGUGGUUACAGCUGCAAUGGCAGUGAAGCAGUUAAGAGUUAAGAGACCACUCAGUCUUUUCAGUGGACUGUAGGCUGGGGACAGGGCAGAUUGGCACAGUUUUAUAUAUAGACUACCAAAUUUUGUUGUGGUCUAGAGUGCGUGUUUCCCUUGUGUAUUAUAGUUCAUAUCUAGAUAUCCCAACCCAUCCUCACACAGUGUCAGAUGGUUUCAGUGCUCUACUUAUCUGAACUCUUUGAGUUGAGCUCUUUAUUCAAUUGGUUACAACUGAGAUUGCUUUCACCACUUCAAUGGCAACCGAUAUCAAGUUAACUGGUUAAUUCUGUUGUUCUAAAUAUGCAAUGUAAAAUGAUGCUAAUUGUUUAAGUAAAUUAUUCUUUCUUUUAAGAGUUUGGUUUCUGUGCAAUUGUUAAACCGCACAGGGUGGUAUGAUGAUUUGUUAUCGUACCCCAUUCCUGGUGUAGAAUCGGACUCCCCCUUAUUAGAGAGAAAUGAGGUGCUGUACCCCCACUUUAAUUAUCCGUGGGAUCUGAAAAUAACGAAACCCACACCAAUCGAUAUGGAGCAUCCAGACUUUUUUUUUAGCAAGAGUCCUUUGAGACUAAUGCAAAAACUGAAUCGUGAGUCCAAAAAUAAAUCGUCAUUUAUUUUCAAAGCCACAUUUUUAGCCACCUGCAAUCUUGCGCAGUAUCUACCGCAAUUACAAAAAUGAAGAAAUUGAACAGCAAAUUCUGUAUUUGCACACUGAAUCAGAUAGUGAUUAAAGUGUGAUUUGGCGCUAGGUCCUGGUCUUUUUUUCAGAUUACAAAUUGGUUCAGAUUAAAGCGUAAAUCUUUCGCCACGUGACGGUCUUUUUGGAACAAAAACAGAUCGUGACAAGAUUUGUGGGUUCAUGUGUCUGGUACAGAAUCAAAAGGUUUCCUGUUUUUUUAAAAAAAAACAUUUUAAAGAAGGGGAUGUGGACAGCCGUUGAGAACAUUUUUAAAUGAAAAAUACAUAGUUCCUGUUUGCCCCCUUAUUUCAAGGUAAAUCAAACCCUUUUGACAAGGAGGUUUGGAUUUGCCGAUUUAACAGACUCACGGGUACAAUUUGUCACCCUGAAGACGCGAGAAAUGACUGUUGAUCAGUUAUGUGUGAGACAGAUUUCUGAUUCAUGCUGGCAUCGGGUAUAGCUCUGGCUUUCAGACGGACAGACGGCUCCGUUUAUGCCUGGGGGAAUUAAGAGAGAAACAUCUCAUUGCGCUGGAGUAGAGUUGACACUUUUCAGUACCAAACUUGUCAUGGGAAAAAAAAUUGUAGUCUAGAUUUUAUGGUUUAGUUUACCAUUACAUAUCAUCGCGAUGGAAGGGGAUCAAAGUGAGAUGUGCUGAUGGGUGUGUAAUGUUCAGGUCGUGUACAGACAUAAAUGAAACAUUUCGCUGAUCAACAAUGCUGCUGUAGGCCUCCGAAAUCCCACGUUUCCAGCAUCAUGGACUGGGGUGUAUGUGUGUACACUGGACACAGAUUCCUUGUUGUUUUUCCUGAGUGGGAAAUACUUUUUCUCGUUGGGGAGUGUAUUCUUUAUUUUCAGCUGUUAUUUUUUAUUUGAAUUUCCCCAUUGAUGCAACUCAACUUGUGGAAAAGAAGAGUUCAAACAGAAUAUAUUCAAUGUGUGUGUGAAGCUGCUCCAUUUGAGUUACAAAGUAAUAAAAAUAAAACUCAAUAAUGUUAAAAUUCGCCCCACCGAUCCUUUUUAAUUACGAUCUAUUACUAAGCCAAAAGGCCCCCUGUUUGCUUUGAACUAUGCAACAGAUCUCUUGGAGUUAUUUUCACGGUUGACUCUCUAUAUCCUUGCGUCUCUCUCUGUCUCUGUGUGUGUAUGUCUUUCUCUAAUGUCUUGGUGGAUGUGAUCGUUCCCGUUUUUAAUUUCUUUAUACGGAACUACUAUAUAUAGGAAUAUAUGGUCCACUUUUUUUCUUUACUCUUUUGUAAUAUAUAAGUGUGGAAUGCCUUGUUCUCUAUGUCCUGUCGGUUCCAUUUGAAAGAAAAAUAUCCACGAGCAAUUGAGAUGAAGGUAAUUAUAUAUAAAUAUAUAAAGAUGCAUAAAUAAAGCCAUUUGGGUUUGAAUUA